UAGAUGAAAAAAAAAAAAAAAAAAAAAAAAAAAAA
rnacentral:ribozyme from 13 species